UCCCCCUGACAAUGGGCAAAGAAACACUUUGUUGGUGGUGGUGUCCUCAUAUCAGGGGCAGAGCAGACGGCAGUCCUUUCUUCACUCUAGCUUGAUGACUGACUUGGUGGCCAAAGCUCUUUUAUGCCUAGGACUCAUAA